rnacentral:rRNA from 1 species
CAGUAGCCGCGGGAAUACGAAGGGUGCAAGCGUUACUCGGAAUUACUGGGCGUAAAGCGUGCGUAGGUGGUGGUGUAAGUCCGUUGUGAAAGCCCUGGGCUCAACCUGAGAAUUGCAGUGGAUACUGGAUCACUAGAGUGUGGUAGAGGAUAGUGGAAUUUCCGGUGUAGCAGUGAAAUGCGUAGAGAUCGGAAGGAGCAUCUGUGGCGAAGGCGACUAUCUGGGCCAACACUGACACUGAGGCACGAAAGCGUGGGGAGCAAACAGGAUUAGAUACCCGCGUAGUCCCUGUCUCUUAUAC